GAUUGCCUUAGUUGGUACCACAGAAGAUCCACAGGAAAGUCGUCUUCUAGAACUUCAGGAACUGGACCCAGUGUUGAAAGAGGACAUUAGCUGCAUACCACAUGGUGCUCUGGAAAUAGCUCAACAAAUGCAGAAUAAACUGUUAAGCUAAUAGGCCUCCAAAUCCAGAACCAUCUCCUCAAACAGAUAAAAUCAGCCACAUUCUGCACUUUGAUCAUAGAUGGGAGACCUGGUAUCACUUCCAAAGAAAAUCUCUCCGUCUUCAUGUGCCAUGUUCCCCAGAGUGAAGAAGGAGCAGCAGAGUGCUUACUGUGAUUCUUUGCUCAAUCCCUCAUCCCAAGCAAUCUGCAUUUGCUGGAGAACGAUGAAGCCGAAGUGGCACUCUCUGAGGCAUUCAAGGGAGAUAGUCCCUACCUGGACAGAUGUAGAGCACAGCUGUAGAGGUCCAUGGCUGGGUGGAUGGAUGUUCCCUGACAAGAACAGCCAAAUAAUAUCCUUGCUGUCCUGUAACACUUGAACUUCUCCUACCCUGGCAUUCAUACAGCCCUCUCCAUUCUGGCCACAUCCUGGCCACUAUAGCUGUCCAUGUCUCUCCUGGAGGGUGGAGAGAAUCAGUAUCUGACAUAGGCACUCCGGAAGGAAGUAAGAGCUUGCCUGGGAAGGCCCUGACAUGUAUUCCUCAGGACAGCAGAUAUGCAUGAGGUCUUGGAUGACUUUGACCCAUACACACACUGGUAGAGGGCUGGAAUGUUUUCUAAGUUGCUGAAACAUACCUAUACUUGGAACUUGGCCCAGUGCUGGGAGCCACAAAGUGGCUAAGAAGAAUAGUCCUGUGUGAGGCCUAACUGUAAGCAAAGCUACAGUAGAGGCUGAAGAAACUGAAGCUGCAAAGCAGUUUCAAAGACUGGGAGCCACAAAGUGGCUAAGAAGAAUAAUCCUGCAUGAGGCUUAACUGUAAGCAAAGCUACAGCAGAGGCUGAAGAAACUGAAGCUGCAAAGCAGUUUCGAAGAAUCCCCCAGCUGAACCUGUUUAGUACAAAUUCCUGAAAUAUGAUUUCCUCUUCUGUUCUUGUGCUUCUUUCCUGUCUGACGUUUAUGUGUGUUAUGAGUCAUUCUUGGCUCAUAAUAUGGGAACCUUUUCAAAUUCCUGAGGCUUCACCCAAGCAUGGGCCAUUACCUACUUGUAAACCUAAGCCCUUGUCAAAUAGGUUGAAAACAAUUGAAUUAUGCAUAAAGAACUUUCCUAAGAACGGGAAGUUUCCCUUCAGAGGAGUAAUAGUAAGUAUUACGCAGAACUGCCACGUAAGCCUGGGGGUUUUGUUGGACUUUGGUCCGUCCCCAUGGAGACAGAUUAGGGGGUGGUUUGGGUGUUGCCCAUGGCCCAACAAUUGUGGAUACUAUAAGGCAAGAUAUUUUUUUCUACAAUGAACGCUAC